AUUGAACGCUGGCGGCAGGCCUAACACAUGCAAGUCGAGCGGCAGCGGGACCUUCGGGUUGCCGGCGAGCGGCGGACGGGUGAGUAAUGCCUAGGAAUCUGCCUGUUAGUGGGGGAUAACGAGGGGAAACUCGCGCUAAUACCGCAUACGUCCUACGGGAGAAAGCGGGGGCUCUUCGGACCUCGCGCUAACAGAUGAGCCUAGGUCGGAUUAGCUAGUUGGUGGGGGAAGGGCCCACCAAGGCGACGAUCCGUAACUGGUCUGAGAGGAGGAUCAGUCCCACUGGAACUGAGACACGGUCCAGACUCAUACGGGAGGCAGCAGUGGUAAAUGUUGUACGAUUGGCGAAAUCCUGAUCCAGCCAUGCCGCGUGUGUGAAGAAGGUCUUCGGAUUGUAAAGCACUUUAAGUCGGCAGGAAGGGCUGUAGGCUAAUACCUUGCAGUUUUGACGUUACCGACAGAAUAAGCACCGGCUAACUUCGUGCCAGCCGCCGCAGUAA
rnacentral:rRNA from 1 species